GUUUCCUACGGGACGCAGCAGUGAGGAAUAUUGGUCAAUGGCCGCAGGGCUGAACCAGCCAAGUCGCGUGAGGGAUGACGGUCCUAUGGAUUGUAAACCUCUUUUGUCAGGGGGCAAAGGGCGCCACGUGUGGCGUUUUGCGAGUACCUGAAGAAAAAGCAUCGGCUAACUCCGUGCCAGCAGCCGCGGUAAUACGGAGGAUGCGAGCGUUAUCCGGAUUUAUUGGGUUUAAAGGGUGCGUAGGCGGGAUGCCAAGUCAGCGGUAAAAAUGCGGUGCUCAACGCCGUCGAGCCGUUGAAACUGGG
rnacentral:rRNA from 1 species